AUGUCCAUCUCAUACCCUGCACUUUCGCCUCUGCAUUCCUGGUACCCAGAAGCGCCAACCACAAAGAUUUUGAGCCAGCGACAAAGGUUAAAUUCUUGCCUUCCUUCCUGUCGCUGUCACUUCUGGUGCCACUGCUCCUGGAGGAGCCCUGGCGCAGUGAGGGGAUCUCAGGCCUCCACAUUAUUGAGAAAUGAAGAGCUCGAGGAGCUCAAGGAGACUGGCCUUUCCCACUGUGAAAUUACCCCCUCUACACCUGGUUUACCAGCCUGGACAAAGGAGAGAACGGGAUGAUUUUCAGAGGAGUCCAGAACUUGCUAUCAACUCAGUGGGGGACUGGGUCAUCAGUGCCUUCUUUCCAGAGGGAGAGGACCAGGUAAACUCGGUGGAUUCCUGCGAACUUUGGCUUAUCUCUGAACCGUUGAGGAUAAUGAAGAGAGCAAAGAUGUGAAUGGACCUGAUCCACUCAAUAGCCAGAGCAACAAACAGCACUUUGCUUCUGGACUAUAUGAGUUGGAUAAAGAUGCCAAGAUCGCCCGUGAUGAGCUGUUACAGGCGCCAUGCAUGAUGGUCCGAGUAAAUAUCUCAGAUGAGCAGCUGAGCAGCAUCGCAGACAGGACCAUUCGGGAGGCUGAUCAGCAUGGGGACAGUAAUGCAUCUUUAUCACAGACUUUGCUAAGGUUUUGGAGAAGGUCGAUGCAGAACAGAAAAUGGGCAUUCCAUUUCUUCACUAAAGGGCAGACAGCAGACUGUUCCUUGUGGUCUAGUAUUUAAGAACUGGAACUUGACCGUCCUCCUGUCCACCAGCCCCACCCCCGCUCCUUCAUUCCCUUUCUUCCAAAGUGCUACUGCCGUUGCAUGACAACCCCAAGUGUGUUCUGUCAACGCAAACCUGCCUUUGUCUAUAAACAGGGCAUUACAGAAUGGUACACCCAGUCUAUUUCUGUUGGGUAUCCGUUCACCAGUUCUUCAUUUACAAAUACCAUCUUUCUGUGUUCUGCUGCUGAAUGCCACACAUCCGUCAAGUCUGAGAAAGUAAGAUGGGGAAUCAUGCUGCGGAACAAGCCAGCAGAGCUCUGUCACCGGAUGCGGACUGCACCCAUGCUGCCUUCCCUCUGGCGAGUUCGCCAGCAUGCAUCCUUUUUGUACGUCCCUUGCUUCCUACUUCUGUGUCAUUCAGCAUACUGGUCACCGAGUCAUGCAGUCUUUCUGCUUUUCGUUAAGCCUCAGAAUCUCCUCUGUUCUACUUGGCACCUCGAGCUAUGCCUGGUAUAUGUAUCUCUGACUUGGCAGGAUAGUUUGGUGGUGUGGUAGUUUUUAAUCUACCUUCAUUAUUCAAUGGGCCUCUGGGAUGUUGCCUCUCCAGGCGCUUUUUGGUAACCAACACUUCUCCCAGGAGCACGAGAUCAUCCUCUGCACUCUGUUUUGUCAUCAGAGGGCUGCUGGGUGGAGAUAUUCUUGGAAGGUGGCCUUGGUGAGAGGUGUGGAGUCAAGUCUUCUAGGUUGCUUGCCCACGUCACUCUCCCUCUGGUCUCUUUGAUUCUCAACUCUGAACCUAUGUGGCUCCUCUUGUUGGUGCAGUGUUGGCUAUUCAAAAAGUAGCAAUAUGCCUGCAGGUUUACUUAGUCUUGGGACACCGUUACCACCAGAACCGCUGCUCUGACAGUAUGCUUGGGGACUUUCUCAUGGCUUUUUGAACAAGGAGGCUGGGCACCCUAUACACCCUCCUGCUUUCACACCUCUGCAGUAUGGUUUAUGCCUCAGUGUUAUGUACACUGGAAUGCUUUUCACUUUACGUUUCCAAGUUAGAAAGAUUAGUGUUACCGAAGUGCCUAACUUAUCCCAGUCCAACAUAUUUAAAGAUUGUUCUCUGUGUGUUGAAGUUUUGCACAAAAUUCUUUAUGAAUUUCAAACUUGGCAGAUGUUAAUGCUGGAAGCCAUAGUCAGCUCCUAAUGCAAGUCCAAAGCAUGAUGGUUUUGUCAUUAGCUCCCGAGUUAACAUUAGUUUCCAUAGCUUAUCCUUUAGAAACAAGAGGUCUGGCACUAGUAGCACAACCUCAGGUGCAUUACAAGUGUUUGAGCGAAUCACAGCAACUUUCCUGCCAAAGUCAGCUUAGUUUAGACUUCCAUGAAUCAAGCUAUUGCCGUCCUAAUGUAUGUCUCUGUGAGUCUGUUCAUUCAUAUGUCUGCCCUUGGCUUUCUUGACUCAUUGCUUGCUUGCUUGUUUCCUUGCUUUGGAAACUAUUGAAGGUGUGUACAUAAUUCUUUAAGUAGGGGAUUGCUAAAAAAUACCACAGCAAAGCAAUGGAAAAAGGUGGAGAACAGGGAAGUAGCCAGGCUGGAUGGCUCAAAUAGAAAUGAAUGAGGAAUUCUUUAUGAAGUAUCAGUUGGACUUUGUGAUCAAGUGAUGUAGUAUAGGAAUUGUAUAAAAGGGAAUAUAUCUUAUACUGAACUGUUAGAAAGGUACUUCAGAGGCUUGUUGAUUUUCAUAAAGUUCCUAAGAUUAUAGCUUUUCCCCUCUUUUCCACAGUUGUGCCUUAUUGUUCCAUUAAAAUUGUAUCUUCAGUCCAUCAGUAAAUACU